GGUGCUGUGGCUUAGUUGGUCAAAGCGCCUGUCUUGUAAAUAGGAGAUCCUGGGUUCAAAUACCCGUGUUCCUU
rnacentral:tRNA from 1 species